CCUACGGGUGGCAGCAGUGAGGAAUAUUGGUCAAUGGACGAGAGUCUGAACCAGCCAAGUCGCGUGAAGGAUGACUGCCCUAUGGGUUGUAAACUUCUUUUAUAUGGGAAUAAAAUGAUCCACGUGUGGCUUUUUGUAUGUACCUUAUGAAUAAGGAUCGGCUAACUCCGUGCCAGCAGCCGCGGUAAUACGGAGGAUCCGAGCGUUAUCCGGAUUUAUUGGGUUUAAAGGGAGCGUAGGUGGGUUGUUAAGUCAGUUGUGAAAGUUUGCGGCUCAACCGUAAAAUUGCAGUUGAAACUGGCAGUCUUGAGUACAGGUGAGGUAGGCGGAAUUCGUGGUGUAGCGGUGAAAUGCUUAGAUAUCACGAAGAACCCCGAUUGCGAAGGCAGCUCACUAGACUGCAACUGACACUGAGGCUCGAAAGUGUGGGUAUCAAACAGGAUUAGAUACCCUUGUAGUC
rnacentral:rRNA from 1 species